UAAGGCUUUAAGUUAAAAAAACUCUUAACCUUCAAAGUUAUAAAUAUCUAGACUUAGAUAAGUCUUAG
rnacentral:tRNA from 1 species